CAAUAGCGUAUAUUAAAGUUGUUGCGGUUAAAAAGUUCGUAGUUGGAUUUCUGUGAAGGAUAACCGGUCCGCUCUAUGAGCGUGUAUCUGUUUGUCCUUUGCAUCCUCGCGGAAUACGUCUCUGUGCUUCACUGCAUGGGGCGGGCUUCGCGACUUUUACUUUGAGGAAAUUAGAGUGUUCACGGCAGGCUCACGCCAUGAAUAUAUUAGCAUGGAAUAAUAAUAUAGGACCUUGGUUCUAUUUUGUUGGUUUCUAGGGCUAAGGUAAUGAUUAAUAGGGACAAUUGGGGGCAUUCGUAUUAACGCGUCAGAGGUGGAAUUCUUGGAUUGCGUUACGACGAACUACUGCGAAAGCAUUUGCCAAGGAUGUUUUCAUUGA
rnacentral:rRNA from 1 species